CUGACGAGUGGCGGACGGGUGAGUAAUGCUUGGGAAUCUGGCUUAUGGAGGGGGAUAACGACGGGAAACUGUCGCUAAUACCGCGUAUUAUCGGAAGAUGAAAGUGCGGGACUGAGAGGCCGCAUGCCAUAGGAUGAGCCCAAGUGGGAUUAGGUAGUUGGUGGGGUAAAAGCCUACCAAGCCUGCGAUCUCUAGCUGGUCUGAGAGGAUGACCAGCCACACUGGAACUGAGACACGGUCCAGACUCCUACGGGAGGCAGCAGUGGGGAAUAUUGCGCAAUGGGGGGAACCCUGACGCAGCCAUGCCGCGUGAAUGAAGAAGGCCUUAGGGUUGUAAAGUUCUUUCGGUAUUGAGGAAGGUUGAUGUGUUAAUAGCACAUCAAAUUGACGUUAAAUACAGAAGAAGCACCGGCUAACUCCGUGCCAGCAGCCGCGGUAAUACGGAGGGUGCGAGCGUUAAUCGGAAUAACUGGGCGUAAAGGGCACGCAGGCGGUUAUUUAAGUGAGGUGUGAAAGCCCCGGGCUUAACCUGGGAAUUGCAUUUCAGACUGGGUAACUAGAGUACUUUAGGGAGGGGUAGAAUUCCACGUGUAGCGGU
rnacentral:rRNA from 1 species